UUUAGGUUUCUUGUUCCUCUCUCAAAUCUCCCCUUUCCCUAACCCUAAUAUUUUUUGUCAUCUCUCAGUUUUUUCUUUUUGCUGCUAGAAAUUCGAAUUCAACCUCAUCCCUUCUCAUUCGCAAGAGAAGCAGAAAUUUGGUGGUGGAUUAAUUGGAGAAGGAUGAGGAAGAAAGCAUUGAUGAAUGCAGAGACAAUGGCGGUGCUUUUGUGAAGAAGCACGGGGUGGUCAGAAAAAGGUGAAAUUUGUAGAG